AUGAUUACUUCUUUUAGGUUUAAGUUGGCCAGCAUACUAUUAUGUUGGAAAACAAACACUGCAGCAAGUACUACAAUCGUUGAAGAAAGUAACGAUGACAUUAAUGGAGAUCCUGAUGUUCAAAUAUUAGAAAGCCUAGAUGAUAUAAAAAAAUCAAAGCAAAAAAUCCCAUUAUCUGUUGAAAAUAAAUACAGAUCACUAAUAUCUAUUCUUUCUAAUAUGAGUGUACAUGAAUUAAUAGCUGGACUUUGUAGCUUCAUUAAAUCAAUCAAUUACACCGAGAUUUUAGAGAAAGUAUGGAUCCAAAGUUCAAAGCCAUAUCCAAUUAGCUUGUCUCUCACAAAACUACAAGAAAUGCAAAAGGAUGAUUUACCCAUGGACAAAGAUUGCUUUAAUUUGGUUGUAUGGAAGAUUAUGUUUGAUGACAUCCAAACGGCACAAAAAACAAAACAUUUGAUAACAAAACAUUAUCUGGACAUGAAAUUUUGGAUGACUACUGAUUUUAGAUGGGACCCAGACUUCCGUAAGAAGUUAGAUGUGGAACAACUAGCAAAUUCUGUUUGUAAUUGGCCUGGUAUAAAAUAUAAUGUUUCAACAUGCAAAACGGUAAGAGCACUUUUGGAGCCGUAG
rnacentral:rRNA from 1 species